rnacentral:rRNA from 1 species
CCUACGGGUGGCAGCAGUGGGGAAUAUUGCACAAUGGGGGAAACCCUGAUGCAGCGACGCCGCGUGAGUGAAGAAGGAAUUCGGUAUGUAAAGCUCUAACAGCAGGGAAGAAAAUGACGGUACCUGAGGAAGAAGCCCCGGCUAACGACGUGCCAGCAGCCGCGGUAAUACGAAGGGGGCAAGCGUUAUCCGGAUUUACUGGGUGUAAAGGGAGCGGAGACGGGAGGGCAAGUCUGGAGUGAAAGGCGGGGGCUCAACCCCCGGACGGCUCUGGAAACGGUACGGCUGGAGUGCAGGAGCGGUCAGUGUCUUUCCUCGUGUAGCGGUGCCAUGCGUAGAUAUUAGGAGGACCCCCAGUGGCGCAGGCGGCUUACUGGACUGUACCUGCCGUUGCGGCUCUAACGCGUGGGGAGCAAACCGGAUUAGCUACCCUAGUAGUC